rnacentral:rRNA from 1 species
AUUGAACGCUGGCGGCAUGCCUUACACAUGCAAGUCGAACGGCAGCACGGGCUUUGGCCUGGUGGCGAGUGGCGAACGGGUGAGUAAUGUAUCGGAACGUACCUUUCAGUGGGGGAUAACGUAGCGAAAGUUACGCUAAUACCGCAUAUUCUGUGAGCAGGAAAGCAGGGGAUCGCAAGACCCUGCGCUGAUUGAGCGGCCGAUAUCAGAUUAGCUAGUUGGUGGGGUAAAGGCCUACCAAGGCUACGAUCUGUAGCGGGUUUGAGAGGAUGAUCCGCCCCACUGGGACUGAGACCCGGCCCCGACUCCUACGGGAGGCAGCAGUGGGGAAUUUUGGACAAUGGGGGCAACCCUGAUCCAGCCCUGCCGCGUGAGUGAAGAAGGCCUUCGGGUUGUAAAGCUCUUUCGGCCGGGAAGAAAUCGCAUCAGCUAAUACCUGGUGUGGAUGACGGUACCAGGAUAAGAAGCACCGGCUAACUACGUG